UGGGGAAUAUUGCACAAUGGGCGCAAGCCUGAUGCAGCCAUGCCGCGUGUGUGAAGAAGGCCUUCGGGUUGUAAAGCACUUUCAGCGAGGAGGAAGGUGGUGAGCUUAAUACGCUCAUCAAUUGACGUUACUCGCAGAAGAAGCACCGGCUAACUCCGUGCCAGCAGCCGCGGUAAUACGGAGGGUGCAAGCGUUAAUCGGAAUUACUGGGCGUAAAGCGCACGCAGGCGGUUUGUUAAGUCAGAUGUGAAAUCCCCGGGCUCAACCUGGGAACUGCAUUUGAAACUGGCAAGCUAGAGUCUCGUAGAGGGGGGUAGAAUUCCAGGUGUAGCGGUGAAAUGCGUAGAGAUCUGGAGGAAUACCGGUGGCGAAGGCGGCCCCCUGGACGAAGACUGACGCUCAGGUGCGAAAGCGUGGGGCAGCAAACAGGAUUAGAUACCCUGGUAGUCCACGCUGUAAACGAUGUCGAUUUUGGAGGUUGUGCCCUUGAGGCGUGGCUUCCGGAGCUAACGCGUUAAAUCGACCGCCUGGGGAGUACGGCCGCAAGGUUAAAACUCAAAGGAAUUGACGGGGUCAUAGCUG
rnacentral:rRNA from 1 species